CCUACGGGUGGCUGCAGUGGGGAAUAUUGGACAAUGGGGGCAACCCUGAUCCAGCCAUGCCGCGUGUGUGAAGAAGGCCCUCGGGUUGUAAAGCACUUUCAGUGAGGAAGAACGCCUGGUGGUUAAUACCCAUCAGGAAAGACAUCACUCACAGAAGAAGCACCGGCUAACUCCGUGCCAGCAGCCGCGGUAAUACGGAGGGGGCGAGCGUUAAUCGGAAUUACUGGGCGUAAAGCGCGCGUAGGUGGCUUGAUAAGCCGGUUGUGAAAGCCCCGGGCUCAACCUGGGAACGGCAUCCGGAACUGUCAAGCUAGAGUGCAGGAGAGGAAGGUAGAAUUCCCGGUGUAGCGGUGAAAUGCGUAGAGAUCGGGAGGAAUACCAGUGGCGAAGGCGGCCUUCUGGACUGACACUGACACUGAGGUGCGAAAGCGUGGGUAGCAAACAGGAUUAGAUACCCCUGUAGUC
rnacentral:rRNA from 1 species